GAUCAUAGCUCAGGAUGAACGCUAGCUACAGGCUUAACACAUGCAAGUCGAGGGGAAACGACAUCGAAAGCUUGCUUUUGAUGGGUGUCGACCGGCGCACGGGUGAGUAACGCGUAUCCAACCUGCCCACCACUUGGGGAUAACCUUGCGAAAGUAAGACUAAUACCCAAUGACGUCUCUAGAAGACAUCUGAAAGAGAUUAAAGAUUUAUCGGUGAUGGAUGGGGAUGCGUCUGAUUAG
rnacentral:rRNA from 1 species